GACCACGAUCAGCUAGCGAGCCCUUCCCAGGGACUCGGUCCUAGUCCUGGCUCCAGCACCCAUGGAAGUCAAUAAAAAACAUUCCCACUGAGUGAGACUCGGACAACUGGUUAUUAUGCUUCAUGUUACAGGGGUACUUCCCCCAGGCACUUCUAAGAGACUCUGGUGAAAAUGCAACACUUGGGGCAUGAUGACAGGCAACUCAUCCAUGACACUCGUGACAUCCUCUUUGUUCCUGACAAGCCAUGUGGAUGCCCUUCUCUGACCCCAGAUCAUACUAAGCGGAAUAUAACGACAUCAAUAAUAAUCAUAAGAAAGCUUAUCUGGCGAAGUCUGUUUGUGCGGCUGUCCCAGUCUCCAGGGAGUCCAAACAGAAACUCCCCGGUGUAAAUCCAGGAGCCUGUCAGCAGGGAAGAGUGCAGAGCUGGAUAAAGAACACAAGAGUCCGGGUCAGCUGAGAUGAAACCUGCCCACGCUUCAACCCUUAGCACCAUCAGUGCGAGUGUGGGGCUCACGUCCAGAGCCCGUUAUGCAAACCAGCCCUUAAAUAACUAAAUCAGCUUUCACUCACGGCUGGGCCGAGGCACUUGUUUUGGAAGGGACAUGUGUAUUCUGGAAUAAGACUUGGCCUGCCUUCAAAGAGCCAAAAGGGUGAAUCAAAACUGAUCUAACCCU